rnacentral:rRNA from 1 species
GACGAACGCUGGCGGCGUGCUUAACACAUGCAAGUCGAACGGAAAGGCCCUGCUUUUGUGGGGUGCUCGAGUGGCGAACGGGUGAGUAACACGUGAGUAACCUGCCCUUGACUUUGGGAUAACUUCAGGAAACUGGGGCUAAUACCGGAUAGGAGCUCCUGCUGCAUGGUGGGGGUUGGAAAGUUUGGGCGGUUGGGGAUGGACUCGCGGCUUAUCAGCUUGUUGGUGGGGUAGUGGCUUACCAAGGCUUUGACGGGUAGCCGGCCUGGGAGGGUGACCGGCCACAUUGGGACUGAGAUAGGGCCCAGACUCCUACGGGAGGCAGCAGUGGGGAAUAUUGCACAAUGGGCGGAAGCCUGAUGCAGCAACGCCGCGUGCGGGAUGACGGCCUUCGGGUUGUAAACCGCUUUCGCCUGUGACGAAGCGUGAGUGACGGUAAUGGGUAAAGAAGCACCGGCUAACUACGUG